rnacentral:lncRNA from 10 species
ACCAGGUAGACAGAAUUCCAAAGAAUGACAAGGAAAGAGGCACGUGAGCUCUUUCAGUUUUGGCAGCUCAUGGUGGGAAGAGGGGGCCGCCACAGAAUUGGGUAAAAAAGAAAAAAAGCUAAAACAAAUACUACAUCUUAAAGGCUGAAUAUGAACCAACAUGGCAGUUUAGAAACCCUGGGUGUCCCAGACACGAGAGAUGACUGCUGUCACUCACCAGCUCUUUUCCAGGGACUCCCUCACAAAGACGAGGUAGGAUAGGGGCCUGGAAUGGUGUCCUUCAGAGGCGAGAGGCCUGCCAUCCUCACAGGCAAGACCUGAAGCCGCUGGUGGAGGAGAGGAAGCCCUUCAGCUCCCAGCAUCCAGGCUGUCCACCACUGCUGGGAGAGCAGAGUGAGCCAAAAUUAUCUACACCUGAGGGAACUGAGUUGUCUACACCUGGGGGACUUACGGUGCACUCUCUCCUGCCUUUUGGGAGCAGGAUAGGAGCAAGAACGCUGAGAAAAGCCCGCUUAUGUGGCCCAGGUGCUCCAGGUCUGCCUGGGUCUGAGGCUGCACCUGAGGAAACAUGCCUGCCUCCACCAACAACCCAGCACCAGGUAGCCAGCACCAGUGGGCUAGCUCUGGGCAGGUGCAGGGAGGAGAGCAGCAGGGACCACUGACGGCUGAGGGUGGGGCAUGAAGAGCAGGCAGCAGCGGCUCACCACUAGAGGAAUUCAGAUCCAUGCGGCACUGAAGAAACUGUAACCCAAGGUCCUAGGGUUUUGGAUAUGCACGGUGAAAAACUACCCACUUGUAACUGUGGCACCGUGAAUUCUUUGUCAUCUCAAAAUGUUCUAGGAAGAAGCUCAGCCCUGGAAAAACAAAAACGAGUUGGAUCCAGAGAUAGCUGAGUUGGAGAUAAACUUUGGUGAACUCUCCUCAGUACCCUACUAAAACCCUUGCCCAGGGAGGAGCUUAUUUUCCCUUUGGUUUGUACUUGUGAUGUGGGUAAAAGCAUGAUCAGUAACUGCACCUGCACUGCCUUUACUCCUCCGCUACAUACGAUGACUCAGCUGACCAGCCCAGUAAAAUCCCUGUUUUUACCAUUGUUCGGGGAGGAGCUAUCUCGGGAACUAUCCUGGAUGUCUUCCUUACUUGUUGCAAAUAAUAAAAUCUCCUCGUUACAUCCUCCUUGGUUGUGGUCAUUGGACUGUCACCUGCCAGGUGAUUGAACCCACCCAUUGUGUGGGUAAUGAAAAUAG